rnacentral:lncRNA from 1 species
UUCAUAUGUUUUUGAUUCUUGCAUGUUUAUUUAUGAGAUAGAUCUUUUAUGGUUUAUAUUUCUUGAUUCAUGGAUUGUUUCGAUGUUUGAUUUGUCGUAGACGUAAUCGGCACGAUAAAUACUUAGAUCUUGAAUUCAUGUUUUCAAAUUGUAUACUCCAUGAUUAGAACUAUUCUAUCUGAUUGAUCCUUAAUCAAGAAUC